GAUGAACGCUGGCGGCGUGCCUAAUAUAUGCAAGUCGAGCGAACGGACGAGAAGCUUGCUUUUCUGAUGUUAGCGGCGGACGGGUGAGUAACACGUGGAUAACCUACCUAUAAGACUGGGAUAACUUCGGGAAACCGGAGCUAAUACCGGAUAAUAUUUUGAACCGCAUGGUUCAAAAGUGAAAGACGGUCUUGCUGUCACUUAUAGAUGGAUCCGCGCUGCAUUAGCUAGUUGGUAAGGUAACGGCUUACCAAGGCAACGAUGCAUAGCCGACCUGAGAGGGUGAUCGCCCACCUUGGAGCUUGGACGGCGUCAAGGCUCCUACGGGACGCAGCAGAAUGGUACCUUCCGCAACGGGCGGAAGCCUGACGGAGCAGCGCCGCGUCAGUGACGAAGGUCUUCGGUUCGUAAUACUCUGUUAUUAGUGAAGAACAUAUGUGUAAGUAACUGUGCACUUCUUGACGGUACCUAAUCAGAAAGCCACGGCUAACUACGGG
rnacentral:rRNA from 1 species